rnacentral:rRNA from 1 species
ACUCAAAAGCUAGCUCUUCUUACACACCUAACACAAAAAUAUUAAUACAUUUUAAUAUAAUUAAAACAACAAACAAACCAUUUUUACACCCUAGUAUAGGCGAUAGAAAAGGAUAAUGAAGCAAUAGAAAUAGUACCGCAAGGGAACGCUGAAAGAGAAAUGAAAUAAACCAGUUAAGUAAUAAUUAAGCAGAGACAAAAACUCGUACCUUUUGCAUCAUGAUUUAGCUAGACAAAAUUAAGCAAAAAGAUUUCUAGUUUAAAACCCCGAAACUAGGUGAGCUACUCCGGGACAGCCUAAAAAUAGGGCGAACACGUCUCUGUGGCAAAAGAGUGUGAUGAUCUCCGAGUAGAGGUGAUAAAUCUACCGAACCUAGUUAUAGCUGGUUGCCUGAGAAAUAAAUAAAAGUUUAGCCUUUUCAUUUCUGAAAUUAAUAUUGAUAUAUCAUAAUAUUAAACCAAAGAAUAAAAAAGAGUUAUUCAUAAGGGGUCCAGCCCUUAUGAACAAGGAUACAACCUUAAUAAGGGAGGAUAAUGAACACAUUUACUUAAAGUAAAUAUUUUAGUGGGCCUAAAAGCAGCCACCUAAAAAAAAAGCGUUAAAGCUUAAAUAUUAAAACACUUUCAAUAAAGAUUAUUAAAAUCACACUCCCCCAUUUUUAUCAGGCUUUUCCAUUCAAAUAAUGGAAGAAAUUAUGCUAAAAUGAGUAAUAAGAGCAAAAUACCUCUCCUAGCACCCAUGUAAAUCGGAACGGAAAAGCCCCCGAAAAUUAACCGGUCCCAAAAAAAGAGGGUAUUGAAUUACAAAAAGAAAACUAGAAAACCAUACAAGACUCUUUACCGUUAAGCCCACACUGGCGUGCAACCAAUUAAAGGAAAGAUAGAAAGAAAGAGAAGGAACUCGGCAAAUAUACCCAUUAAUUCCUAAGCCUCGCCUGUUUACCAAAAACAUCGCUUCUUGAUAUUUAUAACAUAAGAAGUCCCGCCUGCCCUGUGACGAAAGUUUAACGGCCGCGGUAUUUUGACCGUGCAAAGGUAGCGCAAUCACUUGUCUUUUAAAUAGAGACCUGUAUGAAUGGCAUAACGAGGGCUUAACUGUCUCCUUUUUCCUAUCAAUGAAAUUGAUCUCCCCGUGCAGAAGCGGGGAUUAAAACAUAAGACGAGAAGACCCUAUGGAGCUUAAGUCGCAAGAACAGAACAUGUUAAUUCUUCUAAUUAAAAUAUGAAACCCAUUGAACCCUGUUCCAGUGUCUUUGGUUGGGGCGACCACGGAGUAUCAAAAAACCUCCACGAGGAAUGAAGACACCUCUUUCCAUCUAAGGGUGACAACCCUAAGAACCAGAACUUCUGACCACUCUGAUCCGGCAAAGCCGAUCAACGAACCGAGUUACCCUAGGGAUAACAGCGCAAUCCUCUUUUAGAGUCCAUAUCGACAAGAGGGUUUACGACCUCGAUGUUGGAUCAGGACAUCCUAAUGGUGCAGCCGCUAUUAAGGGUUCGUUUGUUCAACGAUUAAAGUCCUACGUGAUCUGAGUUCAGACCGGAGUAAUCCAGGUCAGUUUCUAUCUAUGAAAUGUUUUAUUCCAGUACGAAAGGAUCGAAUAAAAAAGGCCAAUGAUUUAAUUAAGCCUUCCCCUAACCUGAUGAAAACAACUAAAUCAGACAAAAGGACAUAAAUUUUAAGGGAAGAUUACCCCUU